CCUACGGGAGGCAGCAGUGGGGAAUUUUGGACAAUGGGCGAAAGCCUGAUCCAGCAAUGCCGCGUGAGUGAAGAAGGCCUUCGGGUUGUAAAGCUCUUUUGUCAGGGAAGAAACGGUGAAAGCUAAUAUCUUUUGCUAAUGACGGUACCUGAAGAAUAAGCACCGGCUAACUACGUGCCAGCAGCCGCGGUAAUACGUAGGGUGCAAGCGUUAAUCGGAAUUACUGGGCGUAAAGCGUGCGCAGGCGGUUUUGUAAGUCUGAUGUGAAAUCCCCGGGCUCAACCUGGGAAUUGCAUUGGAGACUGCAAGGCUAGAAUCUGGCAGAGGGGGGUAGAAUUCCACGUGUAGCAGUGAAAUGCGUAGAUAUGUGGAGGAACACCGAUGGCGAAGGCAGCCCCCUGGGUCAAGAUUGACGCUCAUGCACGAAAGCGUGGGGAGCAAACAGGAUUAGAUACCCUGGUAGUCCACGCCCUAAACGAUGUCUACUAGUUGUCGGGUCUUAAUUGACUUGGUAACGCAGCUAACGCGUGAAGUAGACCGCCUGGGGAGUACGGUCGCAAGNUUAAAACUCAAAGNGUAGUGGCCGNGAGAGAGACGACGACGACGACGAGGAGGAGGAGG
rnacentral:rRNA from 1 species